rnacentral:rRNA from 1 species
GGGAAUAUUGCACAAUGGGCGAAAGCCUGAUGCAGCCAUGCCGCGUGUAUGAAGAAGGCCUUCGGGUUGUAAAGCUCUGUCCUCAAGGAAGAUAAUGACGGUACUUGAGGAGGAAGCCACGGCUAACUACGUGCCAGCAGCCGCGGUAAUACGUAGGUGGCAAGCGUUGUCCGGAUUUAUUGGGCGUAAAGAGCGCGCAGGUGGUUAAUUAAGUCUGAUGUGAAAGCCCACGGCUUAACCGUGGAGGGUCAUUGGAAACUGGUUGACUUGAGUGCAGAAGAGGGAAGUGGAAUUCCAUGUGUAGCGGUGAAAUGCGUAGAGAUAUGGAGGAACACCAGUGGCGAAGGCGGCUUCCUGGUCUGCAACUGACACUGAGGCGCGAAAGCGUGGGGAGC